UAUACAAAUUUAUAAUGCAUUGGUAUCUCACCUCAUUGUGAAAACCCUAGCAUAUGCCGCAUGUGCAUGUGUUAGAAUGUGUCAAUGUAUUGAUUUAAUUAAGUUUAGUUUAGUUUAUGCCAAAUCCAUUGACGUAAUAGCCAGAGUAAACGUUGGACAGGAAGGACGUUUACUACAGUUAAUAAAUAAUAGUGCAUGAUAUAGACUGUGUUGAGAACACAUGUUAAAGAGUUAAGUUUACGCUCUUGAAGAGGUAACAUCAACGACGAAGUCAGAUCAAGAUAGAAAUAUUAAGUGUGAUAUAUAAUCUAUAUAUAACCAAUCAAAGUUUAUAUACCUAUAAUAAAUAAAGUUUUGGAGCAACUAUUGUGUAUGCAUUGGUAAUCCUAACUGGCAAAAAGUAACCUGUAUGGCACGAGGUAACACAACCCUGUGUUAACGUAGGCAAGUGUGCACAAUUGUAGCUACAAUUUUAAUGAUAUUAAACAAUAUUCAAUUUGUUUAAUUUAUUUGUACUGUACAAAUAACUAAAAUUUUCAAAAAUUGGUCCAAAUUCUGAUGAACAAACAAGAAUAUAUAUUUCGUUUAUACAUAUUUAAAAAUUUAAUAUUAUACAACACAAAAUAGCAUGUUUUGCAAUGUUUUGCACACUUUGUGUCCUUGUAAGUUGUAAAAGGAAAAUUAAUUUACAUGUCCUUGUAAUUGAGUUGCAUGUAAAUGGAAAAGUGUGCACUAGAAAAUGCCAUUUCUGACAAUGUAGAGACUCCAAAUUUCAAAACAUUUCUUGUGUGCCCAUGCUUACAUGCUAUAUGGUUUUGUUCAGUCAUGAAAACCUCAUGAUGAUCGCAAAACUCUGCUGUAGAUAGAAAUUCAAAACUUUAACCCAUUGAGUGGCAGCACUCUCCACUUGACGAGUAAAAUAUUCUGGCAUUAGACAGAGUAAAAUACAAUUACUAAAGUAGGCCGCAUCGGGGUGCAUUAAUUUGUCACUUAAGGGGUCAAGAGGAUACAGAGUCAGUUUUAUUCUACAACCCAUUGAGUGGCAGCACUCUCCACUUGACGAGUAAAAUCAUCUGACGUUAGACAAAGUAAAAUACUCUGGCAUUAGACAGAGUAAAAUACUAAAUGAACUAAUGAACUAAAAUAAUAAUGAACUAAUGAACUUUUUUGCACCCAUGAAUCAACAUUCACAAUUUUCAGGUGGUUGUUAUUAUUACACUUGUCUUAGAAGUCCUUAUUUUAAUGCAUGACAAAACUGGAAAAAAUCUGAAAUAUAUGUUAAUUAGUGUGCGAUACCAUAUAUUGGCCAUAGCCCGUGUGCAGGCCCACCAAGGGAAGAAUAGUUGGCCUGCAAGCAAGACCC